UGAGGAAUAUUGGUCAAUGGACGCAAGUCUGAACCAGCCAAGUAGCGUGCAGGAUGACGGCCCUAUGGGUUGUAAACUGCUUUUAUAUGGGGAUAAAGUGGGGAACGUGUUCCCUUUUGCAGGUACCAUAUGAAUAAGGACCGGCUAAUUCCGUGCCAGCAGCCGCGGUAAUACGGAAGGUUCGGGCGUUAUCCGGAUUUAUUGGGUUUAAAGGGAGCGUAGGCCGUUUGGUAAGCGUGUUGUGAAAUGUAGGAGCUCAACUUCUAGAUUGCAGCGCGAACUGUCAGACUUGAGUGCGCACAACGUAGGCGGAAUUCAUGGUGUAGCGGUGAAAUGCUUAGAUAUCAUGAAGAACUCCGAUUGCGAAGGCAGCUUACGGGAGCGCAACUGACGCUGAUGCUCGAAGGUGCGGGUAUCGAACAGG
rnacentral:rRNA from 1 species